rnacentral:rRNA from 8 species
UCUGGUGGCGAUACGUUUAGGGGAAACACCCGUACCCAUCCCGAACACGAUGGUUAAGACCUAAGCGGCCGAUGGUACUGCACUGGAGACGGUGUGGGAGAGCAGGUGGCUGCCAGAU